rnacentral:rRNA from 1 species
GAGUAACACGUGGGACACCUGCCCAGAAGCGGGGGAUAACACCUGGAAACAGAUGCUAAUACCGCAUAACAACUUGGACCGCAUGGUCCGAGUUUGAAAGAUGGCUUCGGCUAUCACUUUUGGAUGGUCCCGCGGCGUAUUAGCUAGAUGGUGAGGUAACGGCUCACCAUGGCAAUGAUACGUAGCCGACCUGAGAGGGUAAUCGGCCACAUUGGGACUGAGACAGGCCCAAAACUAAUACGGGAGGCAGCAGUAGGGAAUCUUCCACAAUGGACGAAAGUCUGAUGGAGCAACGCCGCGUGAGUGAAGAAGGGUUUCGGCUCGUAAAACUCUGUUGUUGAAGAAGAACAUAUCUGAGAGUAACUGUUCAGGUAUUGACGGUAUUUAACCAGAAAGCCACGGCUAACUACGUGCCAGCAGCCGCGGUAAUACGUAGGUGGCAAGCGUUGUCCGGAUUUAUUGGGCGUAAAGCGAGCGCAGGCGGUUUUUUAAGUCUGAUGUGAAAGCCUUCGGCUCAACCGAAGAAGUGCAUCGGAAACUGGGAAACUUGAGUGCAGAAGAGGACAGUGGAACUCCAUGUGUAGCGGUGAAAUGCGUAGAUAUAUGGAAGAACACCAGUGGCGAAGGCGGCUGUCUGGUCUGUAACUGACGCUGAGGCUCGAAAGUAUGGGUAGCAAACAGGAUUAGAUACCCUGGUAGUCCAUACCGUAAACGAUGAAUGCUAAGUGUUGGAGGGUUUCCGCCCUUCAGUGCUGCAGCUAACGCAUUAAGCAUUCCGCCUGGGGAGUACGGCCGCAAGGCUGAAACUCAAAGGAAUUGACGGGGGCCCGCACAAGCGGUGGAGCAUGUGGGUUAAUUCGAAGCUACGCGAAGAACCUUACCAGGUCUUGACAUACUAUGCAAAUCUA